GUGGGGAAUUUUGGACAAUGGGCGCAAGCCUGAUCCAGCAAUGCCGCGUGCAGGAAGAAGGCCUUCGGGUUGUAAACUGCUUUUGUACGGAACGAAACGGUCCGGGUUAAUACCCUGGGCUAAUGACGGUACCGUAAGAAUAAGCACCGGCUAACUACGUGCCAGCAGCCGCGGUAAUACGUAGGGUGCAAGCGUUAAUCGGAAUUACUGGGCGUAAAGCGUGCGCAGGCGGUUUUGUAAGACAGGCGUGAAAUCCCCGGGCUCAACCUGGGAAUUGUGCUUGUGACUGCAAGGCUGGAGGGCGGCAGAGGGGGAUGGAAUUCCGCGUGUAGCAGUGAAAUGCGUAGAUAUGCGGAGGAACACCGAUGGCGAAGGCAAUCCCCUGGGCCUGCACUGACGCUCAUGCACGAAAGCGUGGGGAGCAAACAGGAUUAGAAACCCUGGUAGUCC
rnacentral:rRNA from 1 species